UUUACCACUGCCGUUGAAUCGGUAUGCGGUAGGAAAACCCGUAAUCGGUAAAACUGCCGAUACAUCGGUAGGUCUGGACACCCAGAACACAAAUUAGAAUCAUUGAGCGAGACAGAAAAGAAACUCAUUAUGCUACCUCUUUCACGCUCACAGAGUAGACAUAAAUUGUUGAGUUAGAUGCAGUUCAAUGAGAGUAAUCUAUACAGAUGAGGUAAUACUACUACUCUCUCGCUUGUUUUCUGGAAAACUAUGACGUAAUUUUCCAUAAUAUGCAUAUUGCAAUAUAUUACGUCAUAAUCUUGUAUGCUAUGUAUGCAUGUUUUCGGAUUCUAGUCCAUUCAAAUGUGAGGAUUAACGUCUGUUAAAAACAUUCCAGCGGUUUGCUCCGAUACUCGAUUUUUGCUUCAAGUUAUUGCGAAUAAAUGACCGAAUUUAUCACUGUUGCAUGUGGGUCCAUGACGUAAAUUUUACUUCUAGACUUUAGGUGGCUGGGGUACUUUUACGUUUGUUGAGGAUGAAUUGUUGAAGUAACUCCACAGCAUAGUGUAGAAGCUGGAAGCAUUUUGCAUACCAAAUUUGAUGAUAUACCUUGAAUAUUAAAUGCUUUCUAUUCGCUGGUGCACUGCGACGACAAAAAGUAGGGGCUACAUAAUUUUUUUCUGGUGUGUGCAAGCCUAUUGAAAACCAAAUUUACUACUAAAAAUUUCCAGCCCUGUGGUCGCUGUGUAUAUUUAUUAAUAUGCGAUUGAACCGUCUCAGACCUAUAGGAGACAGGUAAUGAAAUCAGGAAUAAGAUAUAUAAAUGGAUUCAAUUCAAAAUUUGCUUAAAUGCGAUGCCUAUGACACAAACGCAGGACAGGAGAAAUUUUCAUAGUGUUAGACGAUCUAGAAGACCGGUGUUUAACGGUAACUGACAGCUUCUAAAAACAACAAUUUUUUUCAACAAAUGGGUGAUGUGAAAAUCAACACAAGCAUUAGUUAUGUUAGCCAUUUUUAGUUGAAACAGCUAAAACAAAUAUCAACAACUGCAAUAUCUUAAUUUUGUGAUUGCGGGGUUUUCCGUGCUGCUUUUAAACGCGACUUGCCGGAUAACCAGCUCAUGCUCAACUUCAUCCAAUAGCAAAUGCUCGACGUUCAUCGACCGAUAUUGCAUAAGGAAAUCUGAGCUCAUUUUUACAAAAAGUAACCAUUUUUAUUAAAUUAAUUGAAUUUUUUUUAUAACACUAAUUUAUCGACUUAGUAGUAGAGAAUUGAUUGAAUAGCUAUAGUACUUCACUAACAAAUUAGCAUAUAGUGAUUCUACAAAUAAUAAAUAUAUAAAAUUUGGUUUGUGUUCGUGUCAGAAUUUUUUAUUCAUUCAGGACCUUUUCUGUUUAUUUUUGGUGAGUAUUCUUCUAAGGCAAAUUUUAGAAAUUUAGUUUUUAGUUGCAAUAUCCGAAAUAACUACCGUCCAAUUUACCUAUUGGAAAUUUUAACUGCUUUUACGUGCGUUCACUUUUUCUGCACCAUAACGGAAUUCACUUUAACCAAUGUCUACCAGCUUUUUAAGGAAAUAGUGUUCAAACUAAUAGUGGGUUGAUUUGGGGUUCUACGCAAUCAGACUAUGCUGAUUGUGUACUCACCUACCGCCUGCGAAAAAAUCGUCUGAUUUUUUUUUAAAUUCUACUCGAUUCCUCCGACUACCUUUCGUGUGUUGUGGCUGGGUGCCAAGUGUAACUUUUCUACUGUGUAUCCCGGUAAAGCUCAGUAGCAAGAGCCCCCUCGAACUGGGUCUCAGGGUCGGCUUACUACUAGGUAAUCGGCGGGGUCUCGCGGACAACUGUGCAGGGCACUAUCACUUAACUAAACUGGGUUGUGAAAUAAACAAAUUGAAAAUGGAAUCUAAACUGUUUUAUUAAUGAAAACUUUAACUUUUAAAUAUUUACUUUUAUUUAACUAUUGCUUGUGUGUGAGUGUGUAUGUGGGUUGUGGGUUUAUACUGGUACGUACCGCUGCUGUUGCCGGAAGUUGCUGGUGGUUCAGGGUCGUCCUGCGAGCGCUCGCGUUGCUGCUGCUGACGACGAUGGGGUUCGGGAACUGGUGACAAUGGAUACUCUAUUUCGCUGGUGGGAUUGGCGGGUUCUUAACGGCGUUGGUGGAGCCUAAUGGCGGCUGCUGGCGUCUUCCCUCAUUGACUAGUAUCGACAGGCCCAGGACGAUACCGGAGUGACCGUGCCGAGAGGGGUAAGUCCUCCUUAGCGGUUAUGGCCCAAGGCCAGAGGACGAUCGCUGGUCUUUGACGGGUUAGACGUAGCAAGCAUCCAGGGCUCGCUAGGCCGAAUCGUAUGCUGCCAGGUGGUGAUGAUUGCGUCACCCAAGGCACAGGAAAUUUUAUAUCAAACUAAAAGAAGGUCCUGUGAGGGUAACAAUUCAGGGUGGGGAAUAAGUUUAAUCUCACUCGUAACACGUUUUUGGCAAUUCUCGCCAUCGUUGUCAAACUAGAAUGUUACCUAAAUGUAUCUGGUUCACCUCACGCUUCAAUUCACUUUUUGAAUUAUUAGUUUUUUUUAACUUACUUCACUUUUAAUGUGUCGAGCACACGAACGCCAGAUAACUUGUGAUUCCUGCGGGGGUCGCAGCGGGAUGUUUUAUGCCUUCGGUAGCGUAACAUUUUGGCGGUUUUCCACAGCUUUCUUGGGGCGAACUUUGGGUGUGUCGCGCUACCAUUUUUCGCCUGCCGUAUAUCAGCUUUCCUCCCCCUUUCGUUAACUGUUCUAUGGUUUGGUGUUCGUUACUUUUACCACCCACUUGUACCCACUGUGUUGUUUUAGUGUGAUGACAAUAAUUUGUGCGUUUAUUCUAAUCCUACUAAUCCUAAUUUUAACAAUUAACAAAUAAUUUAUAAUUCACAUUUUAUACUACUAACCCUACUAAAAAUUAACUCUUUUACAUUUAGUGACGUGACAGUACAACUAAACAUUUAGGCACAUAUUUAAAACAAAUAGAGGAUUUUGUAACAAACGGUUACAGUGCGGUAUGAGGUUGUCGACGAAUUCAUAUAUAUUGGAACACUAGUGGCGAAUAAGACUUUCUAUGGUUUGCGUAGUCAACUAUAGUCCCGUAGCCUACAGACGCGCACAAAACUUACUCUAUACAAAACGUUGAUACUCCCUGUUGCUGAAGCAAACUAUCGAGUACUCGAUGUGUUUGAGCGAAGAAUUCUGCGUUCAAUAAACGGCGGCACAGUAGAAAAUGGAGAAUGGCGCAGGCGCAUGAACCACGAGCUGUACCAAGUAUACAAACAUGCUGACAUCGAAAGGCUGAUAAAACACGGCAGACUAAAGUGGGCUGGACAUGUAGUACGAAUGCCGGAAGAGAGAGAGAAAAUUUUCCGAUUGGGUGCUUAAAGAUCAACGUUAAACAGUUCUGGCAGUUGAACAUUCCUGACAUUCUUGACAAUAAGCUGACGUAUUUCUUAAAAUUUUCUUACAGGAUGGCUUUCAAGUAUCAGUAUCUCGAAAACAACGAACACCCUGAAGAAAAAAUUGAGCCAAGAAUUAAACAUAAAAGAGCCGCUCCAUCAGGAGAGGCAGAUACAAAAUUCAAAGUGACAAUGGAUACAAUAUUGCAAUCGACAGGCCAAUCUCCUUGUACUUCGUUUCAACAAGUCAUUAAUUCGGUGAAUCCGUCAAAAAAAAAUAUAACUAUUCCAUCAAAGAUUCUUUACGGAAAUAUCUUAAGGAAAGCUACUGUGAAAUAGGAACAGACUCCAUUUAUUGCGCACACUGUUAACACUUCAUCUUCCUCGGGAGUUUUGUCGUUUGGGCACGGAGAAGAGCGACCGAAGGAUGCUACUCAAGAAAACGUCACACUACAAUUACUUAUGGAAAAAUUGACAACAAUGGAAUUCGGGAGCUUUACAGGUACUUUGCAGGGCAAAUUUUAUGCAAUACGGAAAAUUAUAACUGGACCGGCACGCGUGCGUAUAACGCAAAAACGGAAUGUAUGAUUCGAAAUGCAUCGCACACACAGAUAUUUCAGUUGUUACUUGAAAUUGGCAUGGAACGAUUUAAAAUUGACAAAGUGAUGGCAACUACCGAAAUAACCCAUGCUAUCAACAAUUUUAACGAAGCACGUAGUGCGCGCAUAAAACGAAAUAAAAAUGUUAUUAACAAUACUAUAUAACAUAAACGCUCCCAUAGCAGUACUAGCACACCGUCCAAGCUCUAAAAACAAUCGCAGCAAUUUUUGCGGGGCAGUAGCUCCAAGAUACUUCGAAAGCAGCAUCUAUCUCAUUUCAGUAAACAGGCUAGAAAUCAUCAACCGAAUAAUACACGAUAAUUUAAAGUAAACCAACCGAUGAGGCCUGCCUACAAAGUGGAUGUUGUUUGUGCAGUUAGAAGAGAUGUUACCAAAGUCACGUUGAAUUUGGUCAACAAUGUGCGAAGAGAAAGUUAUAUCGGUUAGGUUUGAGAUAAUUUAUAUUCCCAGUACUACUACUACAUUGGCAUGGUACGGGUAACCACAUCGGCAGUCACUGGAGUUUUAGUGGACAUAAAAGAUCUUCCGUUUCCAACUCAACUCGAUCCUCGUGUGACCAGACCAACUAAAAAAUAGGUGCAUUCGACAAAUCAGUCAUUUUACUAGACGCAGAGGCAGAUUGCAAAUUUGUCGGAUCGGUGGAUGCCUUUUCGUCGCGGUAUGUUGGCACGGUAUGGGUGUAACAUAAUUGGCAGUCAGUGGGGUUUUAGUGGACAUGAGAUAAAACCCCCAUUUCCCAAUCAAUUCUAUUCUCGUGUCACCAACUGAAACAAAGCUAUUCGACAAUCCGGCCAUUUGACGACACCCAAUGUAAGCUGUUCACCGGUCGGCGACAAGAAAUUUCUCCAUUGCAUAUCUUGACCAACCAACGUAUAACUGUAUGUAAUGGACUCGAUCUUCGUACCAUCAAAUAGACCAAAGGUCUUCGACGUCCGGUAAUUCGUUAUGGUUAUCGUCGUAAGGAAACGUCUACACACACCACGCAGGGGAGAGUCGUAUAACAUUUCGAACAGCACGAUAGAGGACGUUUUUGGUAUUAUGCAGCCGACCGAGUUCGACUUCCGUAUGUGUACCGGCAAUAAUCAUAUUACUUAAAAUGCAACUAUAAGCACUUCGAGUCGGAAUGUCACGUUAUCCGGUGCUUUCUACGACAAAAAUUACAGCAAAAGUAAAAUGAAGAAGAAAAAACAUCCCUGCAGCGGAAUUGACUAAGUUUACCAGGAAGUGACCAUCAUCAGAAAUAUUGAUGCGUCUCAGUAUCGAUCGUACAGACUCGUCAAUUCAUACAAAUCCGCAUCCACAAAGAUACAUUGAUUUGCCUCGAUUUUGAAGAUUGGUCUCAAUAUACACAUCGGAGCAACGGUAUUCACAGUAUAUUGUGCCGCUGAUGAACCUGAAUUCGACUGCACUAUCACUGUCGGCUUCUUCCGAAUGUUGAAAAGCCUAUAAUAUGAUAGUAAACACGAAGGUAUCAGCUCAAAACGAAUUUUUCAACUGGAUGGAGGGAAAACACCGCGAAGACGAAUGGUCAUCGAGGCACUGAAAAAGUACCAGUUGGGCCGGUUUUCUGCAAUGCUGAAAUCGUUUGCCAACGGGCUCAAACUUACCGAAGAAAAAGUGCUCUAAGACUCACAUAUUUCUUGGUCUGACGGAUGAUCCAGUUGUUGCUGGACGAGAGCAACGUAGUCUAUUUGGCCCGAUUGGCAUACCAACUGGUGUGACGAACAGCGACACAGAAUAUCCGCAACCCCAGAAUAUUGCUGCUGAGAUCAAUUUGGGCUGACGGGGAUGAACGAUCAGCGUACUACAUAAUUACGUCUUGUUUUCGGGAAGCGUACUAUUAUUUGAAAAAAUGAAU